CACGUAGGGCGCGAGCGUUGUCCGGAAUUAUUGGGCGUAAAGAGCUCGUAGGCGGUUCGUCGCGUCGGCUGUGAAAACCCGGAGCUCAACUCCGGGCCUGCAGUCGAUACGGGCGGACUUGAGUUCGGCAGGGGGAGACUGGAAUUCCUGGUGUAGCGGUGAAAAUGCGCAGAUAUCAGGAGGAACACCGGUGGCGAAGGCGGGUCUCUGGGGCCGAUACUGACGCUGAGGAGCGAAAAGCGUGGGGGAGCGAAACAGGG
rnacentral:rRNA from 1 species